UACGUAGGGUGCAAGCGUUGUCCGGAAUUAUUGGGCGUAAAGAGCUCGUAGGCGGUCUGUCGCGUCUGCUGUGAAAACCUAGGGCUUAACUCUGGGCGUGCAGUGGGUACGGGCAGGCUAGAGUGCGGUAGGGGGAGACUGGAAUUCCUGGUGUAGCGGUGGAAUGCGCAGAUAUCAGGAGGAACACCGAUGGCGAAGGCAGGUCACUGGGCCACUACUGACGCUGAGGAGCGAAAGCAUGGGGGAGCGAACAGG
rnacentral:rRNA from 1 species